GCCUGUGAGGGUUGCUGGAGGUAUCAGAAGUGCGAAUGCUGACAUAAGUAACGAUAAAGCGGGUGAAAAGCCCGCUCGCCGGAAGACCAAGGGUUCCUGUCCAACGUUAAUCGGGGCAGGGUGAGUCGACCCCUAAGGCGAGGCCGAAAGGCGUAGUCGAUGGGAAACGGGUUAAUAUUCCCGUACUUGGUGUUACUGCGAAGGGGGGACGGAGAAGGCUAUGUUGGCCGGGCGACGGUUGUCCCGGUUUAAGCGUGUAGGUGUGUGUUCCAGGUAAAUCCGGUUCACUUUAACACUGAGGCGUGACGACGAGGCACUACGGUGCUGAAGCAACAAAUGCCCUGCUUCCAGGAAAAGCCUCUAAGCAUCAGGUAACAUCAAAUCGUACCCCAAACCGACACAGGUGGUCAGGUAGAGAAUACCAAGGCGCUUGAGAGAACUCGGGUGAAGGAACUAGGCAAAAUGGUGCCGUAACUUCGGGAGAAGGCACGCUGACACGUAGGUGAAGUGAUUUACUCACGGAGCUGAAGUCAGUCGAAGAUACCAGCUGGCUGCAACUGUUUAUUAAAAACACAGCACUGUGCAAACACGAAAGUGGACGUAUACGGUGUGACGCCUGCCCGGUGCCGGAAGGUUAAUUGAUGGGGUCAGCGCAAGCGAAGCUCCUGAUCGAAGCCCCGGUAAACGGCGGCCGUAACUAUAACGGUCCUAAGGUAGCGAAAUUCCUUGUCGGGUAAGUUCCGACCUGCACGAAUGGCGUAAUGAUGGCCAGGCUGUCUCCACCCGAGACUCAGUGAAAUUGAACUCGCUGUGAAGAUGCAGUGUACCCGCGGCAAGACGGAAAGACCCCGUGAACCUUUACUAUAGCUUGACACUGAACAUUGAGCCUUGAUGUGUAGGAUAGGUGGGAGGCUUUGAAGUGUGGACGCCAGUCUGCAUGGAGCCGACCUUGAAAUACCACCCUUUAAUGUUUGAUGUUCUAACGUGGACCCGUAAUCCGGGUUGCGGACAGUGUCUGGUGGGUAGUUUGACUGGGGCGGUCUCCUCCUAAAGAGUAACGGAGGAGCACGAAGGUUGGCUAAUCCUGGUCGGACAUCAGGAGGUUAGUGCAAUGGCAUAAGCCAGCUUGACUGCGAGCGUGACGGCGCGAGCAGGUGCGAAAGCAGGUCAUAGUGAUCCGGUGGUUCUGAAUGGAAGGGCCAUCGCUCAACGGAUAAAAGGUACUCCGGGGAUAACAGGCUGAUACCGCCCAAGAGUUCAUAUCGACGGCGGUGUUUGGCACCUCGAUGUCGGCUCAUCACAUCCUGGGGCUGAAGUAGGUCCCAAGGGUAUGGCUGUUCGCCAUUUAAAGUGGUACGCGAGCUGGGUUUAGAACGUCGUGAGACAGUUCGGUCCCUAUCUGCCGUGGGCGCUGGAGAACUGAGGGGGGCUGCUCCUAGUACGAGAGGACCGGAGUGGACGCAUCACUGGUGUUCGGGUUGUCAUGCCAAUGGCACUGCCCGGUAGCUAAAUGCGGAAGAGAUAAGUGCUGAAAGCAUCUAAGCACGAAACUUGCCCCGAGAUGAGUUCUCCCUGAGACUUAGAGUCUCCUGAAGGAACGUUGAAGACGACGACGUUGAUAGGCCGGGUGUGUAAGCGCAGCGAUGCGUUGAGCUAACCGGUACUAAUGAACCGUGAGGCUUAACCUUACA
rnacentral:rRNA from 1 species